rnacentral:lncRNA from 1 species
UUUGGUAUCAACACCCCCACUCCCACUUUUAUGUUUUUUUAUAUCUUGCAUGAGUGAUUCUAAAAGUCCUAUAUUUUGGGUGCUUGCUUGACUGCCAGAUUCAGCCAUGUAUGAAUCACUGCAACAACAAAAGAAAACGAAUGCGAAUAAAGACAUUGGUUAUUAAAGACAGGUGGAACACAGUCACACACACAAGGAGCUGAAAUGGCUAUUGGACAUAUCGAAUGAGAGCUUGGAUCAUUCAAAAAUUAGAAUAGAUAUCCAUAAAUUAAAGCAAGUAAAGACAGAAAGAAGAGUACCUGGAGAAGUGGAGAGACGAGAUGGCGAGAGGAGGGAGACCGACGACUGCUGGGUACUGCGCUACUGGCUGGGGGCGGCUGCUGCUAAGUGUUAGGGUUUUUGUUCUCAGUCUCAAUGACUGAAUCUUAA